CUCAAACCCAAGAGAUCUGGGGUUAAAGGGGUAGACCACCACCUCCCAGAGAGAAUGACAUUUUUGACUGUGAAUUUUGUGUAAGUAGAUUGCCCUCAUUGUUGUAGGUGAGUCACAUACAUUCAGUUGAAAUCCAGGAGAGAGAAAAACAGCUUCCUUAGAGCAAGAGAGCCCUUCAGCAGUCUGUGUUUGAGUGUCAUCUUGUAACAGAGGCUCCUUUGAAACCUUUGGACUGAAAAUGGAACAUCAACCCUUCUGGGGCUCAGCUUGUUGGCCCACCCUGCCUAAUAAAUCAUUUAUUUACAA
rnacentral:lncRNA from 1 species